rnacentral:rRNA from 1 species
UACAGAGGUGGCAAGCGUUGUUCGGAAUUACUGGGCGUAAAGAGCUCGUAGGUGGUUUGUCGCGUUGUUCGUGAAAACCGGGGGCUUAACCCUCGGCGUGCGGGCGAUACGGGCAGACUGGAGUACUGCAGGGGAGACUGGAAUUCCUGGUGUAGCGGUGGAAUGCGCAGAUAUCAGGAGGAACACCGGUGGCGAAGGCGGGUCUCUGGGCAGUAACUGACGCUGAGGAGCGAAAGCGUGGGGAGCGAACAGG